UACGUAGGGUGCAAGCGUUGUCCGGAAUUAUUGGGCGUAAAGGGCUCGUAGGCGGUCCGUCACGUCGGGAGUGAAAACUUGGGGCUUAACCCCAAGCCUGCUUCCGAUACGGGCGGACUAGAGGUAGGCAGGGGAGAACGGAAUUCCUGGUGUAGCGGUGAAAUGCGCAGAUAUCAGGAGGAACACCGGUGGCGAAGGCGGCAUCCUGGACCGAUUACUGACGCUGAGGCGCGAAAGCUAGGGGAGCAAACGGG
rnacentral:rRNA from 1 species